rnacentral:rRNA from 1 species
GGGGAUUACGAGCCUAGCUUAAAACCCAAAGGACUUGACGGUGUCCCACCCCACUAAAGGAGCCUGUCCUAAAAUCGAUGACCCCCGCUAAACCUUACCAUUUCUCGCUUAUCAGCUAGUAUACUUCCGUCGCCAGCCUACCAUGUGAACGUACACAGUAAGCUCAAGGGUUCCACACCAACACGUCAGGUCAAGGUGCUGCUUAAGAAAUGGGUUGAGAUGGGCUACAAUUUCUAACUUAGAACAUACGAAAUACUUUAUGAAACAAAGUCAUGAAGGUGGAUCUAGCAGUAAAAAGAAAACAGUGUGUUCUUUUUAACAUGGCAAUGGGAUGCGUACAAACCGCCCGUCACCCUCUUCAAUAAAACUAAGCUGUAAAUAACACCUAGCUAUCACCAAGAAGAGGCAAGUCGUAACAAGGUAAGUGUACUGGAAAGUGCACUUGGAACAA